rnacentral:rRNA from 1 species
GACGAACGCUGGCGGCGUGCUUAACACAUGCAAGUCGAACGAUGAUGCUGGAGCUUGCUCCAGUUGAUUAGUGGCGAACGGGUGAGUAACACGUGAGCAAUCUGCCCUUGACUCUGGGAUAACUGCGGGAAACUGUAGCUAAUACCGGAUACUUUCACCGGAAGGCAUCUUCGGGUGAUGAAAGAAUUUCGGUCAGGGAUGAGCUCGCGGCCUAUCAGCUUGUUGGUGAGGUAACGGCUCACCAAGGCGACGACGGGUAACCGGCCUGAGAGGGUGACCGGUCACACUGGGGCUGAGACACGGCCCAGACUCCUACGGGAGGCAGCAGUGGGGAAUAUUGCACAAUGGGCGCAAGCCUGAUGCAGCAACGCCGCGUGAGGGAUGAAGGCCUUCGGGUUGUAAACCUCUUUUAGCAGGGAAGAAGCGAAAGUGACGGUACCUGCAGAAAAAGCACCGGCUAACUACGUGCCAGCCGCCGCAGUAA